rnacentral:piRNA from 1 species
AAAACAAUCGUCGCACUUGUGA